UACGUAGGGUGCGAGCGUUAAUCGGAAUUACUGGGCGUAAAGCGUGCGCAGGCGGUUUUGUAAGCCAGAUGUGAAAUCCCCGGGCUUAACCUGGGAAUGGCAUUUGGGACUGCAAGGCUUGAGUGCGGCAGAGGAGACUAGAAUUCCUGGUGUAGCAGUGAAAUGCGUAGAUAUCAGGAGGAAUACCAGUGGCGAAGGCGGCUGGCUGGACCUGACCUGACGCUGAGGCGCGAAGGCGUGGGGAGCGAACAGG
rnacentral:rRNA from 1 species